rnacentral:rRNA from 1 species
CAGCCGUAAACAAUGUGCGUUAGGUGUGUCGGUAACCACGUGUUACUGAUGCGCCGAAGAGAAAUCGUGAAACGCACCACCUGGGAAGUACGGUCGCAAGGCUGAAACUUAAAGGAAUUGGCGGGGGAGCACCACAACAGGUGGAGCCUGCGGUUUAAUUGGAUUCAACACCGUAAAACUCACCAGGGAAGACUGUUACAUGAAGGCCGAGAUGAAGACUCUGCUAGAUUUUUCAGAGAGGAGGUGCAUGGCGUAGACGUCU